CCCUGGGUUGAGCAGCCCCUGCGUUUGCGGCCGGCCGCGAGAAAAGCGAGCCAGAGCAGAUGCGGCAGCACCUACCACCCUGCCCGGCACCCCCUGAACCUCCGCCCGAGCGGCUCCGAUUUCACUAAGUCCGAGCUAAACACCAAAACCAGAGAGCUGAGAAGCUGAAGACAACCGCUGAAAGAUGUAUGAUGUCCUCCUGUCUUCUGCUUUCAAGGGUGGACAUCUUAAAACCCUGUUACAUGCUUCAGAGAUUUUGUGUGAUCUCUCAGAGCAACUCUGAAUGUUGUCCCUGGGCUUAACUUCUGCAAAUGGCAACAUUUUUUCU